rnacentral:rRNA from 1 species
AUGCCAAUGUCGUCGUCGUUUCGCUUGCGCUGGAACAGCAAAGGGAAGGCCAUGGACGACGCCGCUCCAGCCCUUCUCCGACGCCAUCAAGCAGUAGCAGCAACUCGAUGCAGGGACGAGGGAGAGGAGGAGUCCUGCUUCCCCGGCGUGCAUCCUCUCUCUCUCGGAACGACACCCAACCUCAAGCGAGAGCAGGCAUCCUCCGUGGAUGAUGACGACAACCAGGGCAUCCACCGCCACGACGACACCCCGCACAUGGUCCAACUCGGCUACAACCUCCUCUACCGCACGACUGCGGCCGCGGUCGUGUUCGGCAUCGACUACAAUCUCCUCUCCGGAUCUUUGGUUCAUUAUACUGACUGCAUGCCACCUCUGUCAUCGCUGCCCCGUCUCCCACACCAUCGGCACCGCCCCUCCGCCUUCUCCUUUGAUGCUGUAGUGGAUUCUUAG